UACGAAGGCCCCGAGCGUUAACCGGAAUUACUGGGCGUAAAGCGCGCGUAGGUGGUUUGUUAAGUUGGAUGUGAAAGCCCCGGGCUCAACCUGGGAACUGCAUCCAAAACUGGCAAGCUAGAGUACGGUAGAGGGUGGUGGAAUUUCCUGUGUAGCGGUGAAAUGUGUAGAUAUAGGAAGGAACACCAGUGGCGAAGGCGACCACCUGGACUGAUACUGACACUGAGGUGCGAAAGCGUGGGGAGCAAACAGG
rnacentral:misc_RNA from 1 species